UAUUUAAUUUUAAACGAUUUCAUUUAAUUAUUUAAGUGGUUUAGGGAUUAGUGAGGGAUUAAAGGGAGAGUAAUUAAGUUUAUUAAUCUCAAUAUAAAUACCCUCAACCCUCAUUAACCUAAAUACAACUCUCAAAAUAAACUCUCUUCCAUCCCGUUUAUUUCUCUCUCUAAAUGAACUCAUCAUCUAAGGCUAGCAAGAAAUAGGGUUUGGGGGCUGGAAAAAAAAAGGUGGAUCCGUCAUCAAAUUUUUGAGAAAUACUAAGGUUUCGGUCAUGGAAGAGUUUCGAGGGCGAUAUUGUCGAAGGCUUGGAUUCUUCCUUUCAUCCAAGUGGUGUAAGUCCUCAACUUUCCAAGGAAAUGCAAUCUUUUAGCUUUGGAUUUUGUUAUGAGAUUGUAGACUCUAUCAUUUCUUUCCUUGUUAUUUGAAUAUUGUACUAUCAUAUGACCUAUCCAUGGUCUUGUUGAAUUUAUGUAAGGGAUAUGCCCAUAUUGUGAUAUCCUUUUAGAUGGUAUCAGACGAGACAAUCUUUGAGUCUAUUUUUAUAUUUAUAUAUAUAUAUAUAUGUGUGUGUGCAUAUAAAGCAGAAGGCUAUGUAACAUUCCUAUAUUAAGGGUCUAUAUAUACUUGAUAUGAA